CUACUAAGCUCUACAAGCAGACGGCUACCGGUGACUUUGUAGCGGUCUAAGAGAACAUCGAUGGUGAAGUGGGUGGUGGGAGGAAAAAAUAUCGGGCUAGGAUUACAUUCCUCAACUAUUGAUGAUGAUAUUUUUGGCUCACGAUGGACAUCCCAUGGACCAUGCCGAUACAAGCACGAACGACUGUACGACGACAGAUCCCUCAAGCCUACCGGGGUGGAACAUAUUUCGUCCCAAACAACAUCGGUUCGGAGGAAAAAUCAACGAACGGGCUGUACUGUCAUCCUCAUCGCUGCACGAUACAGUCCUCCCUCCCGGGAUUGACGAAAUGAUACCACUUUCUAAAGUCGUUGAAAGAGGAAAAUAAAACAUGCAAGCACUCAUCACACACAUACAAACCUCAUAAUGAUGAUUAUGAUGAUGAUGGUCACGAUCACGCUGACGAUCGCGCUUCAACCUGCCUGCAGCAAUAAAGAAAAAGGAUUGAAAAAUCCAUCGGCAGCUCGGAAACACUUUGCACCGUGGGGAGGAUCGUGCGCGAACCGUAAAGUUUUCCACUGCCAAAAAAUAACCGGCCACCGGGGAAGGGGAAAUUGCGCCAAAAAGAUGAUUUUGGAACCCCCCGCCCCCUCCCCCCCCCUUCGGUACGAGGCGGUAAGGUAAGAGAGGAAAGGGUCAACCCGGGGACCGGUUUAUCGUGUGGGUUGAACCACCGGAUCAUCCAUCGCUAGGGGUCAUCGUCGUUGCGCUCGGCAAACACGGCCCCGGUGCAUCAUUAUCAGUGGUAGCAGCAGCAGCAGCAGCAGCAGCAGCAUGUCCGUUUCUUUCCACGAUCAUUCUUUCCUCCACCGCUUUUUAUUAUAUUUGGCACAGGCAGAGUGCGUCGGGGAACAAAAGGAAAAGCCAUCCACUGAAGAAGAGCCGAUUUUUGGGCCGCUAAAGCUGAAGCUGAAUCGCUGUACUUGAUGGCACUGUACUAAUGGAACCUAAGGUUGUGAGCCCUAAGAGCAAUCGGCCAUUGAGACAGCUUCUCGUUGCUGCAGUUCACCCGUUGGAUUGGAAGAUUCAAUUAGGCAGCUCCUGCACGUAAUGUAACGCGUUUAGGUCGACGCCACUGUCCUCGAAGAGCUGAGCGUGUCCCGUGGGAGCUGGCAUUUGAACACAGAAAACGUUUCCGAGGCGGCGGCGGGAGUCUGCUAAUUGUUGGGGUUUGUUAAAAGCUUUUGAAUUGUGAGUAAGUGAGUGAGUGGAAAAUUUAAAACAAUCACGUUUAAACAGUCGAGGCUGAUGAAGGAAGACCCAGAAAACUAAAAAACGCCCAGACCGCCAGGAUAAAUGCAUGCAUCAGAUGGCCAUGCCGUUUCCCGUGACGUUUAUUUGUGUAGCUGAAUUUAAAAUUCAAAUCGCAAUGCAUAAAUUCAGGCGCACAAAAAAGCGGAUCGAUAAACAAAAGGCAAGGGAAAAUAUCGAUCGAUCGGUUUGCAGGCUGGUUUUUUUUAAUUCAUUUCCAGUUCCAUUUCCAUUGGUGCAAAUGUGCAAACCCAAAAUACGAAUGUUGAAACGAUUUGUCGUCGUAUCGGACAUCGAGCUCACCUGAUGCUAAUGGGGCCAGGCCGUACAAGCCUGUCCUAAGAGGGUUGAGACGCAUCUAACCAGGGACAUUAACUAAGGCGUAGGAAAUGAAAAUGUAGGUCCAAAGCUUGGAACAUCAAACUCGCAAAAAAAGCAAAACUAGGCAAUCGUUUUGAGACACCAAACUGAAUACGCUUAUCAUGUUUUAAAAACGUAUUUCUGAAGCUGUUUUUUUGUCUCUCCAUACAGCAUACAUACGCGGCGAAUGAUCUCAUCUCAUUGGUAUGUAAUUAAAUUUUCGGAGCUAGCUCGACCAUCGGCUUUAAUUAUACGGUGCACCGGUCGGUGCAGGAAGCGUGAUUUAUUGCUGUCAUCCACCGGCCAAAGUCAUUGGCCAAUUUAUGCUUGCGCAAAACUGAGACCAACACGUAAUCACGUCCGUUAGGGAAUGAAAAAUUAGAAAAUCUGCCCAACCAAGAAUUGACUGGCCUGGACUGGUUGGUUAGUUGGUGGUGGAUUCGUUGAACCUUUUUUUUUGUAUUUAAAGCUGAGAGGAGCGGCUAGGGCGGUUGGGUGGUAGGAAGCAGUUGUAAUAAAAUUAUAAUUCCUACCAAACGCGAACGCAUUUUUGGUGCGCUCGCGCGUACGAUCGCGCGAUCACUGUUCUGCGUGCAAUGCGCGGAAGAGCAAAAUGCGCGCAAAAAGAGGCGAAAAAGCAGUUGGUGGGUAGGAAGGCAAGGGGAGUGGAUGAGUAAGAAGGAAGGAGGAAGUAUCAUAUUCACACGCA